UACGUAGGUGGCAAGCGUUGUCCGGAUUUACUGGGCGUAAAGAGCGCGCAGGCGGUCGUUCAAGUCGCGUGUGAAAGCCCCCGGCUCAACUGGGGAGGGUCACGCGAUACUGAUCGACUCGAAGGCAGGAGAGGGUAGUGGAAUUCCCGGUGUAGUGGUGAAAUGCGUAGAUAUCAGGAAGAACACCGGUGGCGAAGGCGGCUCGCUGGGCCAGAUCCGACACUCAUCCGCGAAAGCGUGGGGAGCAAACAGG
rnacentral:rRNA from 1 species